UAGGACAUGCUGUCUCUAGCCAAAGAACGUAGAAACUGCUGUUGACAGAGCCAUGAGCUGCAGGCCACAGAUAGAACAAGCAGCACUCAGUUAUCACUCAUCCACCUCUGGGACACCAGCUCUUCCCUGUGCCAGCCUGGGCCCCAGGAAGCACAGACAGGCAACUGCACAGCCAUCAAGAAGGCCUUCCUGGACGGGCGCAGUGGCUUAUGCCUGUAAUCUCAGCACUGUCGGAUGCCGAGGCAGGUGGAUCACAAGGCCAGGAGUUUGAGACCGGCCUGACCAAUACGCCCCUGAAGCACAGAGGAGGCCCACAGCCAGAUGCCCAAAGCUGGAAUGGAAAGGAUCGAUUGCAGAACCUUCCUAGUGAGUCAUGGCCUGUUUCUCCUGCCUGUUCCAGACUUUUCAAGAAGCCCAUGAAAAAGGGCAGGCACACAUGUGUCAAGAGGACCCUCAGCUGGCUCUGGGCACUGCACCCAGCAUCAUGGCUGAUGCCAGCCCAGGGCUCACACUGCAGGAGGAGGCCAAGAGCAGGAACAGGGGACU